rnacentral:rRNA from 1 species
GACAGAGGUGCCGAGCGUUAGGCGGAAUCACUGGGCUUAAAGCGUGUGUAGGCGGCCCGUUAAGUGUCUUGUGAAAUCCCCCGGCUCAACCGGGGGAACUGCUGGGCAUACUGGCGGGCUUGGGUCGCUCAGGGGCAGACGGAACAGGGCGGUGGGAGCGGUGAAAUGCGUAGAUAUCGCCUGGAAACGCCGAAGGUGAAAACAGUCUGCUGGGGGCG